GAUGAAGAACGUAGCGAAAUGCGAUAAGUAAUGUGAAUUGCAGAAUUCAGUGAAUCAUCGAAUCUUUGAACGCACAUUGCGCCCGCUAGUAUUCUGGCGGGCAUGCCUGUUCGAGCGUCAUUUCAACCAUCAAGCCCUGUUUAGGCUUGUGUUGGGGCCCUGCGGUUGCCGCAGCCCCCGAAAUACAGUGGCGGGCUCGCUAUCACACCGAGUGCAGUAGACUACUCUUCGCUCAGGGCGUGUGGCGGGUGCCGGCCGUGAAACCCCCUACUUUUAAAGGUUGACCUCGGAUCAGGUAGGAAUACCCGCUGAACUUAAGCAUAUCAAUAAGCGGAGGA
rnacentral:misc_RNA from 1 species